rnacentral:tRNA from 1 species
GCGCCGAUAGCUCAGUUGGUAGAGCAGCUGACUCUUAAUCAGCGGGUCGUAGGUUCAAUCCCUACUCGGCGCACCA